GACGAACGCUGGCGGCGUGCUUAACGCAUGCAAGUCGAACGAAGUGGCGAACGGGUGAGUAAUACGUGAGUAACCUGCCCUCCUUUUUGGGAUAAGCCUUGGAAACGGGGUCUAAUACCGAAUAAAGGGGGAUGGGCUCGCGGCCUAUCAGCUGGUUGGUGGGGUGAUGGCCUACCAAGGCGGUGACGGGUAGCCGGCCUGAGAGGGUGACCGGGAACAUUGGAACUGGGAUACAGCCCAGAGGCAUACGGGAGGGGGCAAUGGGGGAUAUUGCACGAUAGGCGAAAGCAUGAAGCCGCGGCGCAGCGUGGGGGAUGAAGGCUUUCAGGUUGUAAACAGCUGUCGCUAACGAGCGGGUAGGUGGAGAAGAAGCACCGGCUAACUACGUGCCAGCAGCCGCGGUAAUAC
rnacentral:rRNA from 1 species